GACGAACGCUGGCGGCGUGCUUAACACAUGCAAGUCGAACGGAAAGGCCCUGCUUUUGUGGGGUGCUCGAGUGGCGAACGGGUGAGUAACACGUGAGUAACCUGCCCUUGACUUUGGGAUAACUUCAGGAAACUGGGGCUAACACCGGAUAGGAGCUCCUGCUGCAUGGUGGGGGUUGGAAAGUUUCGGCGGUUGGGGAUGGACUCGCGGCUUAUCAGCUUGUUGGGGGGGUAGUGGCUUACCAAGGCUUUGACGGGUAGCCGGCCUGAGAGGGUGACCGGCCACAUUGGGACUGAGAUACGGCCCAGACUCCUACGGGAGGCAGAAGUGGGGAAUAUUGCACAAUGGGCGGAAGCCUGAUACAGCAACGCCGCGUGCGGGAUGACGGCCUUCGGGUUGUAAACCGCUUUCGCCUGUGACGAAGCGUGAGUGACGGUAAUGGGUAAAGAAGCACCGGCUAACUACGUG
rnacentral:rRNA from 1 species